rnacentral:sRNA from 1 species
GCAGCUCCUGGAGCAGAGUCGGCACUCUUGGGUUAACACCACGGCACUCAUCACAGGCUGCACCAACGCCGCAGGCCUCUUGGUGGUCGGCAACUUUCAGCCUCAUUUUAGGUGGAGUCUUCUUUGUCCAUGAGAGUUCUCAGCUGCAACAUGGGGCAGCCCUGUGUGAGUGGGUGUGUGUCAUCGAUAUCCUUAUUUUCUAUGGCACCUUCAGCUACGAGUUUGGGGCAGUCUCCUCAGACACACUGGUGGCUGCACUGCAGCCUACCCCUGGCCGGGCCUGCAAGUCCUCCGGGAGCAGCAGCACCUCCACCCACCUCAACUGUGCCCCUGAGAGCAUCGCUAUGAUCUAAGGGCUGGGGAGGGUGGCUGGCCCGGCCUCCGCAGCACCCCACCCCAUAUCUUCUUUCCAUUUAUUUUGUACCAAAAACAAUUUUGAGAAAGUAUUCUGUUGGGAUCUGGGCUUCCUCACUUCUGGAGAAGUGGCCAUCCCAUGCCCACCUGUGCCAUAGAGGAGUGGGCCCUGCCAGCUGCCACAGCUGCAUGACCUUCCCCACCCCACGGUGUCGUUUUGUUUUUAAAGGUCACCUGUCCUCACUCACCCAGCCAGCCCUUCAGGUGCCUUCUACUCCCAGUGCCAAAGCCAGACCACUGGGGUUUCCUGCUGCAGGAAUUGGGGGCUGGGAACAGCAGAGGGGAUAGAAGUCUGGUGGAGGUGGAGUGGGCACGCCUUAGCCUACAGAAAGGCCCAUUUCUGGGCCCACUGAGCUGCA